AUUCCUAAAAUUCAAUUGCGCCAGCAACUCGCCAACACCUUUCCCCAAUUCUUUGAUUUGAUUUCUUUAUUUAUUUUUCUCUUUUCUUUCCUUUUUUUUUUAAAUUUUCUUUCCUUAAUUCUUUUCCUCUUCAAAUCUGUAAAGAAAUUGUGAUUGGGAGCCGUGAUUUUAGCUUCAAUUUUAGUCGAAAUCAUUAUCGUAAUUGAAGGUUUGCAUGUUCUUCUUUCCAUCUCAACAUCCGUGGGUUCAAAUUAAUUAGAUGAACUUGGACAGGAUAUGAGGUAAGAGCUCUAAUUCUUCUCUAUUUUUAAUACUAUUUUGAUCUUUUAGUAGUGAAAAUCUUUUAUUUGGAUGGACUUUACUCUGCUACGAUUAAUUUUUCAAAUGGAAACCCCAAUCCCCUUUGAUUGCUAUGACUCCAAUUCUACCGUGAUUGUUUGGGUCUGAUUUUGAUAGCUCAAUUGGAGACCGUAACGGCUAUAAAGGAUUCAAUUAUAAAUACGGAUGGUUUUAGGGGGGUUUAGAGGGGAAGAGGCUCUGUUUAUCGCUGCAACUCACAUAUUAUACUUCCAUACCUUACAUCUGUAUAUAGCUCACAAUUACACGCUUCAGAGAACUGGCUUUUGAUCACUGCUUUGACCUCUGCUUCACUGCUAGUUUUUUUUUCUUUUCGCUACUUCUAUGCUUUGCCGACCAUAAGCCAAGGCAAGGCUUAGUUUUUUUAAUUAGUUUGAUACAAUCUGGAUGUAUCGAGUUCGAGUAUUGGUUUCUCCUUAUUGCUGUUUGAAUUUUCGCACGUAUUACUGCAUACUUUGGAGAGUAUCUGGCUUAUUUUUUGCUAUUGAAGUUACUGGAUUUCUAAUCUUCAUAUUAUAUUGUUAUUCCGCUCUCCAACUGGUUAGUUCCCUGAACGACGCAUCAUAAUUUCUUUAUGUGUUAAUUGUAUGGUAGAAUAGACUAGUUUUUUUGUCCUCUACUCUCUUAAAAUUUUCGUCUAUUUUAUUCUAUUUGCGAGUUGUAUUUGCACUUGGACAUGAUGAAUGUUGUGCGACAUUCCAUUUCGAGCAUGUCAAGUUAAUAACCAGAGAAUGAUGGUAAAUAAGGGAAAUAAGGUUGUUGCUCGGGUUUUGGUUAAAUGGACAGGGUUGCCAGCUGAUUCUGCUACAUUAGAGUUCUUUAAUGCCUUGAAGAUUAGGUUCCUUCACUUUGAUCCUUGUGGUUAAGGAUCGUUUCCGGGAGGGAGUAUUGAUACACAAAAUACACAGUGAGCUCAAGAACAAUCCAGCUCAGUGCCAUGUCUACUUGGUAGUUAAAAGUUAGUUAGGGGUAAGUUGAAGUUAGUUAGGUAGUUAGAGAAAGAUUCCUUCAGUUGUAAUAAAUAGUAGUCAACUCUCAAUUCUUAUAUAGCAUUGUAAUUCAUUACAAAUCAUAAUCAGAACUAUUACAUUUCUCUCUAA